AACUCUGUAGCUCAGAGGAUAGAGCGCAAGGCUCAUAAUUCGCUUAGAAUGAGAGAAAUUCAUAUGUGUUCCAAGACAUAGAAGUAAUUUAACCUUGAGGUCGCUGGAUCGAAACUAGCCAGAGUUA
rnacentral:tRNA from 1 species